GUGUGUGUGUGUGUGUGUGUUUGUGUGUGUGUGUGUGUGAGAGAGAGAGAGAGAGAGAGACGGUUGGUGGCCCAGAUGUAGGGUAUAGACAGGGAGGUAUAGAGGAGAGAUGGUGGGCAGAUGGAAAUAGAGGUGAGGCUUAAAUCACACGUCAUGACUUCUAGCCAAUAAUAUUUACCUGUUCAAAUAUCUUGAGUUGGCACGUCACUAAGAAUAAGGGUAGGAAGACUGCUUCAAUAAAUAGGGAACCGACUUAUAAUUUAGAUGUUUAAGGUGAAAAUAAAGAGGAAUAGACACAGUGUGCUUCACUGAACAGAAUGGCGAACUACACGCUGUUUGACGUAAGCAGUGAUUUAAUUCAGUGUGUUCGUGGUAUUAUGAUAUUGAAAUGUUGAACUCUUAUUACUAGAGACGAAACAGGAAGUGUGACACAAGUAUAUAAGACUAGAACUAGAUUGUAGAAGUUGAGAAAGGACUCAGAAAUGCACCCUGUUGUAGUUGUUGGCGAAGUGAUGCAAGCACAGCGGAGGAAAUUCAACACAGGAUUUUAGCUCUGAGCUGCAAGAUAAGCUGGGAAUUGCAGCUCUGAGUGUCUUCCUCUAUAGGAUGGUGAAUCACUCGCUGGAGAGGAUAGCGAAUGAAAAGUGCCCCCAAUAUCCUCUGAUGGUGAUCCCCAUGAAGAGGAUCCCUAUUGGUGCCGUAGAUAUCUUCAACCCUGCCCCCGUCGCUGCUCCAAAUGGCAAGUCAUCGCCAUACUAGUGGCCAGCUAAUCUACCUUAUGUGCCUUGCAGAGUGUUCCCAACGCGUGCUGAACAGUAAAGGAAGGAAGUAUACUUGCACACUAUGUAAAUUGUCAAUAAAAGAAGAAUAUAUACUUAUGCAGAUGUGUGUAUUAAGUAGCAUAUAUACACACACACACACACACACACACACACACACACACACACACAGAUUUGUAAGGUUCCCAACUGUUACUUUUCUCUUUUUCUCUAAACAGUAACGACUUUGAACCAGCAUUGUCAUUUUUUAUAGUUACACACAUAUAACGAAUGUACAUGAUAUGCCGUGAUGUGAAUAAACAUGUGACAGAA